UAUUACUAUUCAUCUCUUUAUUCAACUUCUAAUUCCCCUAAAACCGUAAAGAAACCUUCAAGGCGCCGAUACAAUUGAACUUCACGGCCAAAAGCCUAUACACAGUAGAUAAACCUUCAAGCUAGGCUUCAAUUCGUUGUUCUCAAGAACGAUGACGAAUUUCAUCAACAGAGAUUCUCCGUGGAGGUAAUUCCCCCGAAUUAGCUUCAAUUUAUUGGAGCCUUUAAUAGUCAACAACAAAUGGAUAAAGAUCGAAAAUGUGGACAACCUACAGAACGAAGAUGCACGAGAUUUGAAUGCGGAGCAAUUUAGUGGGAAUAAUCAAGAUAUGGAAUUGGAAAAAGGUAAACGUCUGUAAAAUUAUACUACUUUCAUGUGACUUCUUAAUUUAAUUUGCAAACCUGAAGAGGAGAUGAUUGGAGAUAAUAUGGAGACAAACUUUGAUCAUGUUGGACCAACUGGAAGAGAUGGAUUGGUAGAUGCACUUCUUGAUGAUAUCAAUGGUGCCCUUGUGAAUAUGGAAGUGGAGCUUGAUAA